rnacentral:rRNA from 1 species
UACGUAGGAGGCAAGCGUUGCCCGGAGUUACUGGGCGUAAAGCGUACGCAGGCGGUCCAAUCAGUCUAUAGGGACAGGGCACAGCUUAACUGUGUCAGGCUUAUGGAAACUGUUGGACUUGAGGGCUUCAGAGGGAUGGGGAAUUCCGGGUGGAGUGGUGAAAUGCGUAGAGAUCCGGAAGAACACCAAAGGCGUAGGCACCAUCCUGGGGAGUCACUGACGCUCAUGUACGAAAGCUAGGGGAGCGAACGGG